GCAAACUUGGUCAUUUAGAGGAAGUAAAAGUCGUAACAAGGUAACCGUAGGUGAACCUGCGGUUGGAUCAUUACUGAACUGCGGGAACAGAAUGGAACCCCUUUGUGUGAACUGUUAUUAUUUCUUUGGUGGCCCACAAACGUGUUGGCGCGUCAUUUUAGAAAGGACGCGACUUCGGGCCACCUAACCUGUUAUUAAAAUUCUUAGUUUGAUGUAUAUUUUAUCUUACAUGAUAGUAUGAGUUGAAUCUCCAAAAAACAAAAAACAACUUUUGACAAUGGAUCUCUUGGCUCUUGCAUCGAUGAAGAACGCAGC
rnacentral:misc_RNA from 1 species